ensembl:lncRNA
ACGUCUGAGCAGGCCCCGCUGUCACUCCCUGAGGACAGCAGGCAAGGCAGGCGGACGUCCCUGGACGAAGAAAGUGCUGGAGAAACUGGCGACUGUCCCACCUUCCCUAAGGCGAAGGUUCUGAAUUCUGAAGACCGUUACUCGGCGCGGAACGCGACUCCGGGCAGCCGCAGAUGCCAAAGCACCAGGCCUGGGGACCGCGGCCUACGCGUCUCCCGGGCUUCGCGCCCCUCGCCCGAUCUGAUUGGAUGGCGGCGGAAAAAGGCGGGGAGACCCCCGGAGGAGGCGCGCGCAGGCCAGCCGGGGGGUUCCCACGGAGGCGCCCAGAGGGCAAAAGGGCGGGAGCGGGCCUCGGAGCGUCGCGCGUGCGCAAUAGGGACAAGGCCGCUUGGGGACUGCUGGGAGGGCCGGACCCUGCGAGAAACGGGUGGGCGUAGGCCCGGUGGGCGCGGGAGGGGCCCGGGCUGCAAGAGCGCGCGUGCGCCUCGGAGCCGGAGCCGCGGGAGGAGGCGGGAGCUGAGGAGGCGGCGGAGGGGGCGGGUCGCGUCGGGCGCCACGUCCGCAGCCAGAGGCCGCCGCCUCCACCGCCGCCGCCACAGUUUUCCAGCUCCACAUCCUGAAAGGACGCCUCCAGAGCCGCGACUGCCUGGGGUUGUGCCGGCCGCAGCUGCCGCCCAGGCCGCCUCAGCUCUCCUAGGCGCCGGCCUGCUCCCUCCGCCCGGCUGCUGCCCUAGCGCUGGCCGCGAUCCCGGCGCCUUUGAAACUUCUGCUGGUGUGAGUGCCCUCAAGGGUUCCCCAGAAAUAUCGAUACCACACCAACAGGUAAACGCGCGCGCUUGUGUGUGUGUGUGUGUGUGUGUGUGUGCGCGCGCGCGCGCCCAUACUUAACUUUUUAAAAAGAAAGGGAGAAGUAGCCUUUGAUAAACCCAUAUGCAUCCUGUUUUGCUUUUUCCACUUUCAUUUCUUUAGUCUUUGUUAGAACAGAUGUACCAGAAACCAAGUUCAGUGAAAAUUUGUCCAUUUAUAGAAAGCAUCGUUAGAAAUUAUAACGGUUGCUACAUUAGACAAAUAUACAGGUAGGUGUCUGUGUGUGUGCAUGUGUUUGAUUUUUUUUUUUUAAACUACAGGAAAAUCUUUACCUUUCUUUGUUUCAGUUAUUAGGUAUUUACUUUUUUUCUGCUUCCGGAAGAUAUCUCACUGGAUUAUAUAUAAACAUCUUGAGAAUAGGACCUCUGUAUGUUUGUUCACAAGGAUGCCUCAGUGCCUAACAGAAUGUUUGACACAUAGUAGGAAUGCAAAUAUCUGUUGAAAUCAUGUGAAGAUGGUGUGCUGGUUCUCUGGUUUGAUAGAGUAUUGUAAUUCUGCUUAAUGUUUCGUUUAAGGACAACCCUUAAAAAUUGCCUUUUUGACACUGUCAGUUAUUACUCGUCUAAGUGGGCACUUACAAGUUUUACUGGCAGAUGACUUUUUCUUCCUUGCUAGAUUGAGAGCAUUUCUUGUAGCCUAUUUGCUGUUGAUUUAAUGGGCAGGGGCCAUCUUUAAAAGCAGACUCUUCCCGAUAGUUGGUUUAACUAGAAAAACAUAAAAACAGCUGGAGUUUUAAUGUACUCUGCUUGUUGGUGUAUAUGUUUUAGAGCUCUAUAUAAAUAUAUUUUUGAAUCUCUUUGCAAUCAUUUGGCAAAGAAGCUAAAACAUGGGAGUGAGGAUGUGGCCAAGUUCUUUUAGGUAGAAUAUGUAGAAGGAUUUAGCUAAUUCAUUUAUAGUUGUCUUUUUCUAUUAUAGGGACAUUGGCACCUACUGUUGAAUAACAGGUAGUUUUAAGUGGCUUUGCCAAUAAAGUUGUGCACUGUAUUUUGUAGUUAAGCUUU